CUGAGCACUACCUGUGUUACCAGAAGCUUGAAGAUUGUGCAAAUCAUUGUGCCAGGGACUAGGCACUGAUGAUGACCCUUGGGCAGUAGAGUUCUGAAAUGGUGGCCACUGCAUGCCUGUAUCUAAGGAUGAAACCUGGUCUAACUUUGCUGAAGAACCUAUGCUUGAAAGUGUUACUGAAGGCGUAAGAUUUCCAGCAGAUGCUGUGGGCUGACAAUGAAAAGUUGCCCAUCCGUCAUUCUUAGAGACUGACAACUCUGGUAAAUUUUGGUCCAAGAUAGUAACUGACUGCUGCUGAACAAUCCCACCAAAGAGAUCAAGAGAUGAAGGAGGAGAAGUUUGGGUAGUUUGACAUGCAUUCAAGGAUGGAGCUGGAUUUAAUGGUGCCUGAAGCAAAUUGAUAGAUGAUGUCGGUGAUGCUGCUGGCAAUUGAAAUAAAUCAAUUGUUGGUGAAGAUGCAGAAGCAUCUGAUUCUGGAACAACAGGUGCCUUAAACUGAUCCAAGCUACCACAACUCUCAGAAGCUGAUAACUGUGGAGAAGUAGGAACCCUAUCAUGGCGCGUCCCUGUGCCCUGCUCAGGCUCUGAGACAGCAUCUGGUAAAUUACCAGAAUUAUAUGACUUGACAGAUGCAGAAUUGCUAUCAAAUGAUGCAAUGCUUCCAAAAGAUGUGGUUCUCUGCUGAUGUGGAAACCCUUCUGCAUCCCUCUUAAUGUUUUCCUCUUGAAAUAGGUCUAUUUUUCGAUUCGGUGCAUUUUCACCAGAAUUAUCUCUUGGAGUAUGAAUGGGUGGACUGCUAGAGCCCAUGUCCUUCUGAAAAUUUGGGGACUCUGUACUGAAUAGAUCACACCCACUAGAUGCAGAAUAAUCUGAAACCCUAGAAACAGAGCCCUCAUUUGCAAACCUGUCCUCAAACAUUUUUUCAUUUAAGUGAGUAGGACUGCAAAUAAAACUAGACAUCUUCCCGACAUAAAGGCCUCGAUC
rnacentral:misc_RNA from 1 species